rnacentral:rRNA from 1 species
AACGUAGGGGACAAGCGUUAUCCGGAUUUACUGGGCGUAAAGCGCCCGUAGGCGGCCUGACAAGUUGGACGUGAAAGCUCCUGGCUUAACUGGGAGAGGCCGUUCAAAACUGUCAAGCUAGAGUCUGGAAGAGGAGAGCGGAAUUCCCGGUGUAGUGGUGGAAUGCGUAGAGAUCGGGAGGAACACCAGUGGCGAAGGCGGCUUUCUGGUCUGCUCUUGACGCUGAGGCGCGAAAGCUAGGGUAGCAAACGGG